rnacentral:rRNA from 1 species
AUACGUAGGUGACAAGCGUUAUCCGGAUUUACUGGGCGUAAAGGGCGUGUAGGCGGUCUUGCAAGUCAGAAGUGAAAUUCCUGAGCUCAACUCGGGCGCUGCUUCUGAAACUGCAGGACUUGAGUGCUGGAGGGGAUAGCGGAAUUCCCGGUGUAGCGGUGAAAUGCGUAGAGAUCAGGAGGAACACCAGUGGCGAAAGCGGGUAAAUGGACUGCAACUGACGCUGAGGCGCGAAAGUGUGGGGAGCAAACAGGAUUAGAUGCCCUGGUAGUCCACACUGUAAACGAUGAAUGCUAGGUGUAAUAGGUAUCGACCCCGUGUGUGCCGGAGUCAACACAAUAAGCAUUCCGCCUGGGGAGUACGGCCGCAAGGUUGAAACUCAAAGGAAUUGACGGGG